rfam:TPA: Bos taurus chromosome 20, whole genome shotgun sequence.
UCCCUGGGAGUCCAGAGGUUAGGACUGAGCACUUUCAAUGCUGAAUGCCUAGUUCAAUCCUUGGUUGAGGAA